GGGGUGUCCCCUAUAGGGCCCCUAUGGCCGUCCCCUAUAGGGAUUUGGGGCCAGCCCCCUGCCUAUAGGGUCCCCCAUAGGGCCCUUUCCAUACGCUCUCUCCCAUAGGGCGCCUCUCACCGGCACGACCCCGAAAUCGAGCGGAUUUUCCCCAAAUCGAGCGGAUUUUCCCCAAAAUCGAGCGGAUUUUCCCCAAAACUGAGCGGAUUUCACCCAAAAUCGAGCGGAUUUCACCCAAAUCGAGCGGAUUUCACCCAAAAUCGAGCGGAUUUUCCCCAAAACUGAGCGGAUUUCACCCAAAAUCGAGCGGAUUUCACCCAAAUCGAGCGGAUUUCACCCAAAAUCGAGCGGAUUUCACACAAAUCAAGUGGAUUUUCCCCAAAACCGAGCGGAUUUCACCCAAAAUCGAGCGGAUUUUCCCCAAAAUCGAGCGGAUUUCACCCAAAUCGAGCGGAUUUCACACAAAUCAAGUGGAUUUUCCCCAAAACUGA
rnacentral:lncRNA from 1 species